GCGCAGCAGUCGCGAAAACUCCGCAAUACGCGAAAGCGUGACGGGGCCAUCCCGAGUGCCGUCCGCUGAGGAUGGCUUUUCCCUAGUGUAGAUAGCUGGGGGAAUAAGGAGAGGGCAAGUCUGGUGUCAGCCGCCGCGGUAAUACCAGCUCUUCGAGUGGUAGGGAUGUUUAUUGGGCCUGAAGCAUCCGUAGCUGGCUGAACAAGUCCUCCGUUAAAUCCAGCGAUUUAAUCGUUGGAUUGCGGGGGAUACUGCUCGGCUAGGGGGUGGGAGAGGCCAACGGUAUUCUCGGGGUAGGGGUAAAAUCCAUUAAUCCCGGGAGGACCACCAGUGGCGAAGGCGGAGCGCCAGAGCACGCCCGACGGUGAGGGACGAAAGCUAGGGGAGCAAACGGGAUUAGAUACCCGGGUAGUCC
rnacentral:rRNA from 1 species